rnacentral:rRNA from 1 species
UACGGAGGAUCCAAGCGUUAUCCGGAAUCAUUGGGUUUAAAGGGUCCGUAGGCGGUCUAAUAAGUCAGUGGUGAAAGCCCAUCGCUCAACGAUGGAACGGCCAUUGAUACUGCCAGACUUGAAUUAUUAGGAAGUAACUAGAAUAUGUAGUGUAGCGGUGAAAUGCUUAGAGAUUACAUGGAAUACCAAUUGCGAAGGCAGGUUACUACUAAUGGAUUGACGCUGAUGGACGAAAGCGUGGGUAGCGAACAGG